rnacentral:rRNA from 1 species
GCGUUAUCCGGAAUCAUUGGGUUUAAAGGGUCCGUAGGCGGUUUAGUAAGUCAGUGGUGAAAGCCCAUCGCUCAACGGUGGAACGGCCAUUGAUACUGCUAGACUUGAAUUAUUAGGAAGUAACUAGAAUAUGUAGUGUAGCGGUGAAAUGCUUAGAGAUUACAUGGAAUACCAAUUGCGAAGGCAGGUUACUACUAAUGGAUUGACGCUGAUGGACGAAAGCGUGGGGAGCGAACAGGAUUAGAUACCCUGGUAGUCCACGCCGUAAACGAUGGAUACUAGCUGUUGGGAGCGAUCUCAGUGGCUAAGCGAAAGUGAUAAGUAUCCCACCUGGGGAGUACGUUCGCAAGAAUGAAACUCAAAGGAAUUGACG